GCGUAACGCGUUGGUGACCUGCCCCGAAGUGUGGGAUAACAGUCCGAAAGGAUUGCUAAUACCUCAUGUGGUCAUCGGGUUUAGAAGCCGAUGUCUAAAGCAGCAAUGCGCUUCGGGAGGGACCUGCGUCCCAUCAGCUAGUUGGUGAGGUAACGGCCCACCAAGGCUACGACGGGUAGGGGACCUGAGAGGGUGGUCCCCCACACUGGCACUGAAACACGGGCCAGACACCUACGGGUGGCAGCAGUGAGGAAUAUUGGGCAAUGGGCGAAAGCCUGACCCAGCAACGCCGCGUGCACGAUGAAGGUCUUCGGAUCGUAAAGUGCUUUUCUGAGAGAUGAGAAAGGACAGUAUCUCAGGAAUAAGUCUCGGCUAACUACGUGCCAGCAGCCGCGGUAAAACGUAGGAGGCAAGCGUUAUCCGGAUUUACUGGGCGUAAAGCGCGUGCAGGUGGUUCGGUAAGUUGGAUGUGAAAGCUCCUGGCUCAACUAGGAGAGGUCGUUCAAUACUACCGGACUUGAGAGCGGUAGAGGAAGGUGGAAUUCCCGGUGUAGUGGUGAAAUGCGUAGAUAUCGGGAGGAACACCAGUGGCGAAAGCGGCUUCUGGACCGUUUCUGACACUCAGACGCGAAAGCUAGGGAGCGACGGGAUUAGAGACCCCGGUAGUCCUAGCUGUAAACGAUGUGAACUUGGCGUCGGCGGGUUCAAAGCCGUCGGUGCCGAAGCCAACGCGAUAAGUUCACCGCCUGGGGACUACGGCCGCAAGGUUAAAACUCAAAGGAAUUGACGGGGCCCGCACAAGCAGCGGAGCGUGUGGUUUAAUUCGAUGUUACACGAAGAACCUUACCCAGGUUUGACAUGUAGGUAGUAGGGAAGCGAAAGCAGACCGACCCUUCGGGGAGCCUACACAGGUGUUGCAUGGCUGUCGUCAGCUCGUGUCGUGAGAUGUUCGGUUAAGUCCGCUAACGAGCGCAACCCCUCCUGUAUGUUACAUGAGUCAUACGGGACCGCCGGUAUCAAGCCGGAGGAAGGUGGGGAUGAAGUCAAGUCAGCAUGGCCUUUAUAUCUGGGGCUACACACACGCUACAAUGGCCGGUACAAUGGGUUGCUAAGCCGCGAGGUAGAGCCAAUCCCCAAAGCCGGCCUCAGUUCAGAUCACAGGU
rnacentral:rRNA from 1 species